ACCCAGCUGGAUCGAUAAGCCGUGGAUGAAGAUGUUUCACCAUUUUUCUACCAGCUCGGAGUCGGAUCACGACAAAAAUGACUGAUGUAGACACUGACCCGCCAACCUCAACUGGACCAUGGCUGUGACGUCGAUAGAAUUACAUUUGGAGGGCACAAGUCCGGUUUAUUUCUCGGGACACAGGGUAAAGGGAGCCCUGGUGGUCCACAUCGGGGUACCCAUCAUCAUCGCAGGGGUCGAAGUACGAUUCCGCGGUGCUGCUCGAGCCAAAUGGAGCGAAACAGUCCAACGAGAAACCUAUAAAACAGACAUUGAACACGAGAAAGAGGAGAUAUAUUUUGAUGACAGAUUUUGUUUGUGGGGUAAAGUGAAUGAACAAAGCCGAUGGGAGGGCAGGGAAGUACUCCAACGAGGGCGCCACAUGUUUCCGUUUCAGUACAAAGUUCCGGAAGGAGUACCGUGCUCGUUUGAAGGACCAGAUGCGCAUGUGCGGUACACAGUUCAGGGGAUCAUAAUUCGAUAUAACGGGGAAUGUAUCAGUACACAGCGGACAAUUAAUGUACUCAGGGAGUUCGAUCCAAGUCGGGAACCCGGGGAUUCUUCUGCCAAUUCGACACCACAUCCAUUAGAGGACCAUGCUGAGAAAGCUGUCCACACUGUCUGUUGUAGACCAGGUCACGUGUCUUGUUCUAUUACUCUGCCCAAGCGCGCUUAUGUUUCCGGAGAGAAUCUUCGGACGGAGGUUGUUGUACACAACAUGUCGAUACGGAAGUCUGGUGCCGUUAGUCUUCAACUAAAACAGAUCAUAUCAUACGGAGGGGUACACACACGGACCUUGCUUCUGAAGGACCAGAAAAUCUGCGAGAGUCUCCGCCCGGGGCAGCACAAGACCUGGCGGGACUACAGCCUCAGGGUCCCCUCCAUGUGCCCCUCCCGCCUCCACAUGUGUAAGGUGCUAGAUGUCCGCUAUUGUAUUGCGGUGGAGGCUAGUUUUGCCGAGGCUGUCCUUUACGCAGCUGUACCAAUCAUUAUUGCCACGGUACCUGACCCUCAUCUUGAAUUCUCUAAAGUUGCAUUCAAAGGUAAAUAUUUUUUUUACAGUCUACAUCCUACAAAUUUUUCUCAAAAUGUGUUAUAUGACCUUACUUUUCGUGUUUUCUACAGUCAGUGAACCCCCGCUUAUGACCGACAAAACUGUGACCGAUUGCAUCAUAUAUGGAUGUACGAAAGCGGAAACGGAAGAAGAAGAUGUAAAACCAAAAUACAAAUACUUCGAGGACAUGAAAGACCCCAGGAGGGAAAGGGACAUCGUCAUUAAAUUACGCCAGAGUCCCGGUAUGAGACGAAGAAAAGAAAAAGAAAAACAUAAGGCGGAAAGGGAAAGCAAAGAGCAGGCCAAGCAUCUAGUGAAGUUAAAGUCAGAUGAAAUAGUGACGGAAUCGCGCGCAUAGACAUUUUCGAUCAAGAACCCAGAGCCGUUUUCCACUGCCAAACAAUUGCUUUACUUGCCAAAGACCAUUCCUAUCGCUUGGCUAGUGAUCAUUCAUUGUCAUCCGGGUCACUAUACACAUUCUCAGGCAUGCUGGACGUGCUGUUUUUACAAAGACUGUAAACCAUAUCUAAAAAUAAACCAACCCUAUGAACCAAAUGUAUUAUAAUAGAUAACAAAAUACAUGUCGACAAUUAAUGGAACAGAUUACAUAGUUUAAAAAUUUCCUUUCGGUUUAAGGGAACUGGUAAAUCAUUGCUGUAUCCAACGUCUCCUCUUUGAAAUCAUUGAUUAUGCAUUGGAGUUUUCACCCUUUCCUGGGGAUUAUUGAUAAUCCAUUUGUAAAUCUUACUUGUUCUGUGCAUUGAUGGAUAAUCUAUUGGAAUAUUCAACUUUUCCAGAGAGAUUUUGGAUUAUUAAACACUUUCUGUGAAUUUAAGGAUUAUUGGUGUAUCCAACUUUUUUCAGCAGAAUCUUGGAUCAUUCAUUGGAGUAUUCAGCCAUUCAUAUGAAUGUAUUGAUUUUCCAUUGAUGUAUCCAUCGUUUUCAAUGAGAUUUUGAAUCAUUCAUUGGAGUAUUCAACCAUUCAUAUGAAUGUUUUGAUUAUCCAUUAAUGUAUCCAGUGUUUCCAAUGAUGUUUUUGAUCAUUCAUAGGGGUAUUCAACCUUUCCUGAUGAUUUUUGGAUCAUCCAUUUGCUGUUGAUGCAACGAAUCUUCAGAGAGCCAACCAUUUAUAGACUCCACUAAAGGCCCAAGUGUCUUAUUGUUGUCCGUGUGCCACCAAGAGAAAGAGACGUUUUGUACACAUUUAUAUCGCUGGCCGAUGCAGAGGAAUAUUUUUGAUUCCAUUAUUUGUGAACCAAGUGAUCGUUUUAUCUUUUUUGUGUGCCGUUGUUGUCUGCUUUUAAUGAUGAAACAUUCUCCGCGUGAUUAAAAAAAAACGAUUCCGGAAAUUUUGUGACUUCAACGCUACGUCUUUACUUAGUUCCUCAGUCUAAAAAUAUGAAUUGUUUUUGUUGUCAGAUACCUUACCAUUAAAAUAGUACAUUUCU
rnacentral:misc_RNA from 1 species